GUCCACGCCCUAAACGAUGUCGACUGGUUGUUGGGGUUGACACUCUCAGUAACGAAGCUAACGCGUGAAGUCGACCGCCUGGGGAGUACGGCCGCAAGGUUAAAACUCAAAGGAAUUGACGGGGACCCGCACAAGCGGUGGAUUAUGUGGAUUAAUUCGAUGCAACGCGAAAAACCUUACCUACCCUUGACAUGUCCUGAAGCCUGGAGAGAUCCGGGUGUGCCAGAAAGGGAACGGGAACACAGGUGCUGCAUGGCUGUCGU
rnacentral:rRNA from 1 species